GUGGGGAAUUUUGGACAAUGGGCGCAAGCCUGAUCCAGCAAUGCCGCGUGCAGGAAGAAGGCCUUCGGGUUGUAAACUGCUUUUGUACGGAACGAAACGGUCCGGGUUAAUACCCUGGGCUAAUGACGGUACCGUAAGAAUAAGCACCGGCUAACUACGUGCCAGCAGCCGCGGUAAUACGUAGGGUGCAAGCGUUAAUCGGAAUUACUGGACGUAAAGCGUGCGCAGGCGGUUUUGUAAGACAGGCGUGAAAUCCCCGGGCUCAACCUGGGAAUUGCGCUUGUGACUGCAAGGCUGGAGUGCGGCAGAGGGGGAUGGAAUUCCGCGUGUAGCAGUGAAAUGCGUAGAUAUGCGGAGGAACACCGAUGGCGAAGGCAAUCCCCUGGGCCUGCACUGACGCUCAUGCACGAAAGCGUGGGGAGCAAACAGGAUUAGAUACCCCGGUAGUCC
rnacentral:rRNA from 1 species